CUGACCUCGGUUCAGACGUGAUUACC
rnacentral:rRNA from 1 species